GCUGGCGUAGCUCAGCUGGUAGAGCAGCUGACUUGUAAUCAGCAGGUCGACGGUUCGAUUCCGCCCG
rnacentral:tRNA from 1 species